AACGAACGCUGGCGGCGCGCCUAAUACAUGCAAGUCGAACGAGAAGGUGUAGCAAUACACUUGUACAGUGGCGAACGGGUGAGGAAUGCAUGGGCAACCUACCCUCGAGUGGGGAAUAACCAGCCGAAAGGUUGGCUAAUACCGCGUACGCUUCCGGGUCUCCGGAUCCGGAAGGAAAGUCACACCGUGGGUGUGACGCUCAAGGAUGGGCUCAUGUCCUAUCAGCUUGUUGGNGAGGUACGGCUCACCAGGCAACGACGGGUAGCUGGUCUGAGAGGACGAUCAGCCACACUGGCACUGCGACACGGGCCAGACUCCUACGGGAGGCAGCAGUAAGGAAUAUUGCGCAAGUGGGACGAAAGCCUGACGCAGCGACGCCGCGGCGGGGGAGU
rnacentral:rRNA from 1 species